GCUCCCCUGGGCUGGGGCACAGGGCCCUCUGCAGCGUUUGUGCCCCUGGCUCUGUGCUCAGGGCAGGGAAAUUGGGCAGAGAAUCCCUGCUUGGGUCCCCCUGCUGCCAGGGACUGGAGGGGCUGGGCAGGGCUGCUCUCUUUUUUUAAUUCUGCUUUUUGUUUUCUUUGUCUCUCAGAGCUUGGGUGGCACUGCAGGCACAGCCCACGGAGUGCCCAGGAGCUGUGCAAGGUCAGCAGGGCCCAGGCACUGGAACUGGCACCAAGGCAGAGCGAGGCAGCUGGGCACAAAUGUGCCAGGGAACUGUGGGCAGGUUUCCUUCACUCUGUCAUCACCACAGUUUUGCUCCUCACAUCUCUGUCUCCCAACCAGCUGAAUCACUGAACCAAACUGGGUGAGACAAACAGAACCAGGUGUCCACACAAUUCCCUGAGGAGAUGUCCUUGUAAUGCCCUGAAGGAGAGAAACUGAGCUGCACUGGGAGGUUCCAUUCUUCCAGGGGCACUGAUGCACAGAAACCCCACAAAGGCCCAGCAGGGAACCCAGGCACUGCUGGUUUCUAAAUUUAUGGGCAGUGCAAGCCACUGUCACAAAACCUCUGUCAAAGACCAGGCACGACACAGCCCUGAAAAAUCAGGAUACUCAUGGCACCUAUCCAGCCUUCCCUGGGAGUUUUGGAUGACUGAGUUGAACGAAUGAAUGAGCAGGCAGCUGGAACAAUUUUCUCUGGUGCUGCAAUUUGUAUGAUCUGAGUUUUUGUAGACUCUGCACGUUCAAGGAUGGCUGGAACAAGAGAGGCAUUUAGUGAUGAGAACCUCAGUGUGGGAAAUACAUUUGAAAUGUCCAGCUCCACUUGUGCCUGCUGCACAUCAGCCUCUCUUGUGUGAAGCUGGACUGCAUUUCAUGCAGCUGCAGAUGGGAAUGACUCAGGGCAGAGCUGUCCCAGCUCCCUGUCCAGCAAGGACACUGCUCUGGGUGAUCAGAUCUGAAAUGUGAAUUAUUGGGACCUGCAGUCACUGCCAGCCCAGGGCUGGAGGAUCCUGAUUGCUGAUUGCCAGCAGGGAAAUGGAGUCACAGCAGGGCCCUCAGCACGCAGGGAUCCAUCCUGUUCCUGUGAGGGGAACCUGCUGUGAUGCUGCCCAUGGAAAUAAUCAGCCCCACCAGGGUUCCCUAAACAUCAGGGAUUGAGUUUGGGCUUAUUAAAUGUGGUGCUGUCUCACUGCAAUACUGAAAGAUAAAAUAAAUAAAACUGUGCAACAGGAGAAGAACAAAGAUUCCUCUGCCGGCCAUGGUGAGACCAGGGCAGCUGUAAGGCAGCUGUGACCCUGCAGCCCCUGGGGAUCCCUGGGGAUGCAGAGAUGCCCCCACAGCCCCUGGGGAUCCCUGGGGAUGCAGAGAUCCCCCCAGAGACCCUGGGGAUCCCUGGGGAUGCAGAGA